rnacentral:rRNA from 1 species
AGAGUUUGAUCAUGGCUCAGAUUGAACGCUGGCGGCAGGCCUAACACAUGCAAGUCGAGCGGUAGCACAGAGAGCUUGCUCUCGGGUGACGAGCGGCGGACGGGUGAGUAAUGUCUGGGAAACUGCCUGAUGGAGGGGGAUAACUACUGGAAACGGUAGCUAAUACCGCAUAAUGUCGCAAGACCAAAGUGGGGGACCUUCGGGCCUCAUGCCAUCAGAUGUGCCCAGAUGGGAUUAGCUAGUAGGUGGGGUAAUGGCUCACCUAGGCGACGAUCCCUAGCUGGUCUGAGAGGAUGACCAGCCACACUGGAACUGAGACACGGUCCAGACUCCUACGGGAGGCAGCAGUGGGGAAUAUUGCACAAUGGGCGCAAGCCUGAUGCAGCCAUGCCGCGUGUGUGAAGAAGGCCUUCGGGUUGUAAAGCACUUUCAGCGGGGAGGAAGGCGAUAAGGUUAAUAACCUUGUCGAUUGACGUUACCCGCAGAAGAAGCACCGGCUAACUCCGUGCCAGCAGCCGCGGUAAUACGGAGGGUGCAAGCGUUAAUCGGAAUUACUGGGCGUAAAGCGCACGCAGGCGGUCUGUCAAGUCGGAUGUGAAAUCCCCGGGCUCAACCUGGGAACUGCAUUCGAAACUGGCAGGCUAGAGUCUUGUAGAGGGGGGUAGAAUUCCAGGUGUAGCGGUGAAAUGCGUAGAGAUCUGGAGGAAUACCGGUGGCGAAGGCGGCCCCCUGGACAAAGACUGACGCUCAGGUGCGAAAGCGUGGGGAGCAAACAGGAUUAGAUACCCUGGUAGUCCACGCCGUAAACGAUGUCGAUUUGGAGGUUGUGCCCUUGAGGCGUGGCUUCCGGAGCUAACGCGUUAAAUCGACCGCCUGGGGAGUACGGCCGCAAGGUUAAAACUCAAAUGAAUUGACGGGGGCCCGCACAAGCGGUGGAGCAUGUGGUUUAAUUCGAUGCAACGCGAAGAACCUUACCUGGUCUUGACAUCCACAGAACUUUCCAGAGAUGGAUUGGUGCCUUCGGGAACUGUGAGACAGGUGCUGCAUGGCUGUCGUCAGCUCGUGUUGUGAAAUGUUGGGUUAAGUCCCGCAACGAGCGCAACCCUUAUCCUUUGUUGCCAGCGGUUAGGCCGGGAACUCAAAGGAGACUGCCAGUGAUAAACUGGAGGAAGGUGGGGAUGACGUCAAGUCAUCAUGGCCCUUACGACCAGGGCUACACACGUGCUACAAUGGCAUAUACAAAGAGAAGCGACCUCGCGAGAGCAAGCGGACCUCAUAAAGUAUGUCGUAGUCCGGAUUGGAGUCUGCAACUCGACUCCAUGAAGUCGGAAUCGCUAGUAAUCGUAGAUCAGAAUGCUACGGUGAAUACGUUCCCGGGCCUUGUACACACCGCCCGUCACACCAUGGGAGUGGGUUGCAAAAGAAGUAGGUAGCUUAACCUUCGGGAGGGCGCUUACCACUUUGUGAUUCAUGACUGGGGUGAAGUCGUAACAAGGUAACCGUAGGGGAACCUGCGGUUGGAUCACCU